GCUCUCUGACCUCAAAAACUGGCCCCAGGCUAACAUCACACUGCAGGUAUCUAACAUCUCACUACAGGUGUCGACAGCGGAGGACAACGGUAUCCUGCUGUAUAAUGGGGACAACGACCACAUCGCCGCUAGAGCUGUUCCAGGGCACGUUAGGUCAGCUUACGACCCUGGCAGCCUGCCUGGACAUGCUAUCUACAGUACUGAGACGAUCAACGACGGGUCAGUUCCACACGGUGGAGCUGGUGACCAUUGACCAGAUGGUGAACCUGUCCCAUCGACGGGGGUCUCCCCAACCACCAUGGAUAGCCUGAGGGGGGUCCGGCCCCUCAACGGGAGGCUCCGCUAUACGUGGGGGUAGGGCCCUCUCCAGAACACAC